rnacentral:tRNA from 1 species
GGAGCCGUGCCUGAACUAAAGGGUCACUUUGAUAGAGUGAAUUAUAGGGGUUAAAAUCCCCUCGCCUCCU